UACAGAGGUGGCAAGCGUUGUUCGGAAUUACUGGGCGUAAAGGGCGUGUAGGCGGUCUUCUAAGUCAGACGUGAAAUCCCCCGGCUUAACCUGGGAACUGCGUCUGAUACUGGGAGGCUUGAGUAUGGGAGAGGGAUGUAGAAUUCCAGGUGUAGCGGUGAAAUGCGUAGAUAUCUGGAGGAAUACCGGUGGCGAAGGCGGCAUCCUGGACCAUUACUGACGCUUAAGCGCGAAAGCUAGGGGAGCAAACGGG
rnacentral:rRNA from 1 species